rnacentral:lncRNA from 10 species
UGCCACACACUUUCAAACAACCAGAUCGCAUGAGAAUUCACUCACAGUCAAGAACAGCAAUGGGGAAGUCCAUGCCCAUGAUUCAAUCACCUCUCACCAGACCCCUCCCCUGACAUGUGGGGAUUAAAAUUCAAGAUGAGAUUUGGGUGGGGAUGCAGAGCCAAACCAUAUCACAUGGUCAACACAAGCUUCUUGGUGAUGCCCCAAACUUCAGAACCAGUUAAAGGUUUACCAUCAGCCAGAAGAGCUGUGGGAAUGAGCCUCCCAGAAAGAAGAGAUGGAAGGUGUUUGGCAUCUGCAGUGAUGAUGAUGAUGAUGAUCAUGAUCAUGAUCAUGAUGCUGGCUAAAUGCCGACUCUGAGCCCUGCAUGAUGGCACCACAAAACUGCGCCCCUGCCUGAUUUCAUUUCAGCAAGCUUUACUGUGAAGUGUUUAUGUGCCAGGUACCAUGUGUAGAAGCGCUGGCCCAGAGAUGAAGAUGAAGUUUCUAUCCUUAAGGCAUGCAAUGUGGGAGAUGAACAGGUAAGACAGGCAAGAGAGCCACAGAAGAGAAAGUGAUGUGAAGACAGAAGCAGGGAUUGGAGUGAUCCAUCUACAAGCCAAGAAAUACCAAUGGUUGCUGCCAGCCACCAGGAUCUAGGAGAGUGGCAUGGAACAGAUUUUCCCUUAGAGCUUCCAGAAAGAACUAACCCUGUCAACACUGUGAUUCUGGACAGUGAGAGAGAAAUUUCUAUUGUUUUAAGCCAUCAAGUUUGUGGUAAUUUGUUAUGGCAACCGUAGGAAACAUCACCCAGUAAAUCCAAAUUAAAUAUUAUCCCAAUUUUUGCUUGAUACCAGAAAUGGCUGUAGUGUUUCAACACCCUCUAGCAUAAGAGAAUUGUAACAGGGGAAGCUGGUGUGGAAACAGACAGCAGUCUGAACCAGUUUGGACAAAAAUACUGGUCUUGCAAAUUUUAGAAAAAGCACACAACCUCUGAACACAUGACUAGGGCCCCUUCCAGGAACUUAGAAGGGGCCCGGCCGAGGGAGAGUCCCUGAAGCUUAUGUUUAAUACAUUUUACAGAAGAGCUGCCUCGGUGUAGGAAGCAGUGUAGUGUUGCGAAGACAAGCUCUGGAGCCAGACACCCUGGGUUCAAAUCCCAAUUUCGCAACUGUCUAGCUGUUGACUUGAGAGAAGUUACUUAGCCUUUCUGCGCCCCAAUUUCUUCCUUCGUAAAAUAUAAAUGGCAGUAGCACUAUCUGCCUCAUAGGGUUGUUUACCUGGUGAAGUAACAUGAUACACAUAAGGCAC